GCACGGAAGCCUUGCUCGCGAGUUGGCGGCUUACCCGACCUCCUCACAUCAAAGCCCUGGCAGCAUCGGGGCCUUCCGCUUCGACCACCACCAAAGGGCGGCACGGUGCUCGCUCGCCAAAUUCCCAGGCCCCUCCCCAGCUCCGGCAUCUACGUAUUUUUUUUCUUACGUAUUUUUAAUGACUUCUGAGAUGGGACUGAAGGCACAAUGAGACUUAAACUUCGUUUCAGGGAGGCCUGCUAAGGGCUUUUGCUACUCUCCAUGACAAUAACCAAUGUGACAUUGUGCUGAGACUACACAUUGCAAGACAUCCUGCCUGCACCUGAAAGUCUUCUGCUAAGACUAGAAGUUCUGGAGAUACACAGAUCAUCCAGAGGAGCCAGGAGACAAGGUCAGAGAUUGUCUGCUUUCUUUCCCCAGAAGCCUGGGAAGAAUCAAGUCUCCAUGGCUGACAAGACAGAGUUCCCUGAAAGCAUUUGGACACAAUCUGGACUGUGGCUAGCCCCACGAGAAAAGUAAUAAUAAUUUUAAUACAAAGUUUGGCACAGUGAUAUGGAACAGCAGAGCAGAAGACCUGAUCUAUCAGUAGUGGGAGUAAAGGGAUGGCCUUGGCUACCCUGCAGGAGUAUGGAAAGAAGGGAGGAAGUUGACAAACACGCUACCUGAAGCAAGAAAAAGAUGGAAGUUCUGAUUAUUGCAGUUGAAGAAUUUUUAUACAAUUGUGCUAGUUUGAAGCUAGCUAGAAUGUUUUGUUGAGAAGAACUAGAUUACAAACUGUGAAAGGAAAAACAAUGGUGAUGUCUACUUCACUCACCGUCUUGCUGAGAAGUAUGGGAAGAAGAAAUGAAAACAUUAGAUAACACUCUCACCAUUUUUUCUCUCACUCUUGCUUGGGCUGCUGACUGAGCUGCAUCUCUCUAACACACCCUUCCAUUUGGACUAACCCACCUUUGCUUUUAACCUCUGGCCCAACCUCUAUUCUUCCUCGGGACUGGGGUAAGGUUGAGAGGGAAAAGGGGAAGGUGCAGGGGUGGUUGAGAUCCCCUCCUGGGGACUCAGGUUUCUGGGAGGGGAGUUGUGUUGCUGUAUUACCUUUUACCUUGUAUAUUUCUGUAUGUAACUGUAUAUACUGUAAAUAUCUGCUUGUAUAUUGUGCUAGCUGUAAAUAAAUAGCUUCAUUCAUAUUUCCAGAGACAA